rnacentral:misc_RNA from 1 species
GAAAUGCGAUAAGUAGUGUGAAUUGCAGAAUUCAGUGAAUCAUCGAAUCUUUGAACGCACAUUGCGCCCCUUGGUAUUCCAUGGGGCAUGCCUGUUCGAGCGUCAUUUGUACCCUCAAGCUCUGCUUGGUGUUGGGUGUUUGUCCCCGUCUCCGCGCGUGGACUCGCCCCAAAGUGAUUGGCAGCCGGCGUACUGGUCCCGGAGCGCAGCACAUGUCGCGCAAACGAGUGCCUUGGUACGGCGGCGUCCAUAAGCCCCUCUCUCACGCUCUUGACCUCGGAUCAGGUAGGGAUACCCGCUGAACUGAAG